rfam:Peptoniphilus harei ACS-146-V-Sch2b contig00006, whole genome shotgun sequence.
AAUAAACUUAUGAGAAGAAGAGUAACCUAAAAUUUUGAUUAAAGAGAGCUUCGUUUUGGUGAAAGAAGUAGAUGAAUUUUUUGUGAACAUGGCCUUCUCUAGGAAAUACUGAUAUUAGGUAUUUACGGGUCUUCCCGUUACAGAAGUAGAGUAUGAUAGUACUUGAAGAGGUCGCUUUCGUGAGGAAGCGAUAAAUUAAGGUGGUAACACGAGCUUUCGUCCUUAUG